GUCACAGGGGUUGUAUUGGUAUUGCGCUUCACUGUAGCAUUUACCAGGAGACUAAACUGUGUAUUUGGCUUCUCCCUGGGCUUGAAAUCCCCUCGCUCAGGGUAUUGUUGUUCGGGGUCAUGGAUGUAGGCUGUCAUGAGUCGUUUAACUGUGGUGGCUAGGAUAGUGAAUAGAGGGUUAAGGGGCAAGGGGGAGUAACUGGGGGAGAACAUAUUGGUAGUUGUCACUACUAAUACCCAGAUUCGGGUGUGGUUACUAUUCCGU